rnacentral:misc_RNA from 1 species
UAAAAUUGCAGCAAAAAUUCCUGAUGUUCCACAGUACAAAGUAUUAGAAUUUUGUAUUAUUGAUUGUCAACCUCUUAAGGAUUCUGCUAUUGCAUGUGGAGAAAAAUGGAAAAAUAAUUUGGGUGACAUUCUAUCGGAAAUUUCUUGUUCAAACUUAGACAAUGCCUAUCAUUUAAUCGAACUUGUGGAUGCAAAUCAAGUGAUCAACUCAAAAAUUUAGAUGAUCGCUGGAAGGCACUUAACAAGGACUUUACAAAUUACUAUGAAAAAUUACAAAAAGUUCAGGCCUUUCAUCUUAGAAGAUUUCUAGAGUACCACAAAGAGCUUGAGAAUCAAAUAAAGAUUCUUGAGAAUGAAAUGAACCUAAAAGGUCCUUUUCAUAUGGAUUGCAAUUAUGAGGAUGCUAUGGAUCAUAUAUCAUCUUAUAUUAAAACUUUGCAUUACCUUCAGGAGCGUGAACAUCAAAUGAAGCAUGAUGCCCCAUUUUUCAAUAUUGAUUUAAAGCCAUUGGACACCUUGGAAAUUGUAGAGAUUGAAAUUGAGUGUCUGAAAACCUCAUGGUUGUAUGUAACACAAUAUCAGAACUUUCUCAAUGACUGGACAGAUAUCACUAUAAUGAAUUUCAAUGUCAUGGAAAAACAGAAAUGCACUGAUGAGCUUCAAGCCGAUAUAAAUGUUUUGAGGGCAGAAAAGGGAUUCCAUUACAAGCUUCUAGACGAGUUGUCUUUAUGCUUAAAUGAUUUAAAUGAUUGUUAUAAAGUAGUUACAGAUUUUCAAGAGCCUACUUUCCAAGCCAGACAUUGGAACAUGCUGAGAAAUAUUUUGAAUUUAGAUCUUGAUGAUUGUGAAAAAUUCUUUAAAAGUCAGAAAUUUACUUUCCAAUUUUUAAGAAAUUUUGAUUUAUCUAGCAUAUCUUAUGAAGUAAACAUGAUUACUCUUCGUGCUAGAAAAGAACAUGAAAUAGAGCAGACUUUAAAUUUUGCAAGAAAGACAUGGGAAAAUAUAUAUUUCUCUUUAAAUUUAUACGGCAAUAAUUACAAACUUGAUGAUAGUGGUGAUAUUGUAGAUAUUGUUGAAAAUCAAUUGACAACACUUGGAGUAUUGAAAACCUCAAAGUAUGUUUUGUACUUUUCUGAUCAAGUGGAUGAUCUGGACAAUUCUUUGAGGUUAAUCUUAGAUUCUAUUGAAUUAAUGGAAUCCUUCCAAAAAAGAUUUUUUCCUUUGGAGGUUAUAUUCUCAGUUCAAGUUGGUCAAGCAGAACUCUCUAAAGAGUCUCCUCAAUUCCAAGAAGUCAUCACUUUGUGGGCAGAUGUGUCAAAUGUUAUAAAAUCUGUUAAACUGGCAUGGCAAACUUGUCAUGAAGAAGGUUUUGUUGACAGAUUGUAUGAACUGAACAGAAAGAUUGAAGACAUUCAACAAUCAUUGAACUUUUAUUUAGACUCAAAGCGUCGUGUCUUUCCUCGUUUUUACUUUAUUUCAAAUGAUGAUUUGCUUACUAUCAUUGGUCUACAAAAAUCUACUGCUAUUCAACCCUAUCUCAAGAAGUUAUUUGACAGCUUGCAUAGAUUAGAAAUAAUGGAAAAAACGGAAGAAAAAAUGAGGGAGAAAAUAGUCACAAAUCAAGCAUUAGGAAUGUAUUCCUCAUGCAAUGAAAGUGUUCAGUUUUCAAAUCCUAUAAACUUGGAAGGUCCUGUUGAAUCAUGGUUAUUAGAGAUUGAAAAAAUGAUGCACUCAGCACUUAAAACAUCUUUAUCAAAAUGUCUUCAAGCUCUCUCGACAGCUUUAUCUAAAGAAGAAUAUGAUUUUGGUACAUCAAAAUGGUUGACUAAGUUUCCUGGACAAGUAUGUCUCCUCGCUAUAAUGAUUCAGUGGACUGCAGAAGUUACCCAAGGUAUAAAAACGGUUCAAGAAACAGCUGUGACUUCAGCUUUGAAAGCGCUAAAGAAAAAAUGGAGAAAUAUUUUGUAUCAGCUAUCCAAGAGACUGAGAAAACCAGAAACUAAGCCUUUGCUUCAAAAGAAAAUAAUGAAUCUUAUAUUGAGUAUUGUUCACUCUUGUGAUGUUAUAGAAUCCCUGAUGAAGUACGUGUGUAAUAAUGUAGCAGCUUUUGAAUGGAUCGUUCACCUACGAUUCUAUAUGAACUAUGAUAAAAACACUUGCAUGAUUAGACAAACAAAUUCUACUUUUAGUUAUGGUUUUGAAUAUCUUGGAAAUACUGAUAGACUUGUAAUCACUCCCAAUACAGACAGAUGUUUUCUUUCUAUUACUACGGCUCUAAAUCUGCAUCAAGGAGCAUUUUUGAAAGGUUGCAAAAACUCUGGAAAGACAGAAACUUUAAAGGAGGUUGGAAAAGCUUUUGGAAAUUAUGUGCUUAUUAUGAACUGCUCUGAAAAUAUGACUCAUUUCUCUUUAAUGCGCAUGCUGUCUGGUCUAGCUCAGAUUGGUGCGUGGGGAUUAUUUGAAAGAUUUAAUUUGUUGAAAACUGAAAUCAUAUCUGUUUUAUCUCAAGAAGUGAGCAGUAUUUUCAACUCUCAAGCAAGAAAAGAAAGCUAUUUUUCUUUUAUGGGCAAUAAAACUCCUCUUAAUAACAGAUGUGGUAUUUUUCUUUCAUUUGAUUCUGGCUCCAAUUUUAGUAUACCAUUUGGCCUGUCUGAUGUAUUCAGACCUGCUUCAAUUAUAUCUCCUGACUGCAAGCUUAUAAUUGAAGUUUAUCUGUUUUCUUAUGGCUUUCAAGAAGCAAAGGCUUUAGCUGCUGAUGUUGAUUUGGUGUUCAAGAAAAUGAGGGAACAAUUAUCUAGGAAGCUUCAUUACUCAUUUGGACUUCGUGCCAUCAUGCACUUCUUAAAAUAUCUGAAAGAAAAGAAAAAACUUGAUUCACAUUUAUCAGAGGAUGAGUUUAUAGUGUCUUCUUUGCGAGAAACAACAGUUCAGAUACUCGAUUCUUUUGACAUUCCCAUCUUUGAAAGCAUAUUGGAAAUAGUUUUUGGUUUUUUUAAAUCAGAUCACGACAGUAAAUUAGAACUUUGCAAUGAUAUAAAGAAAGUUUUAGAAGAAAAUUUUCUUCAACCAGAUUCAUCGACUAUUGAAACAAUUAAAUACCUGUAUGAAUUAAGAAAAUAUUAUCACUCUAUCAUUUUGCUUGGAGAAAGUGGUAGUGGUAAAACAACUACCUGGAAAAUGUUAAAAGAGCUUGAGGCUCAGUAUAACCGAACUGAGGAUUCCAAACUUUCUGCAGUUCAUAGUUUUAUUUUUAAUGCCAAAGCUUUCACUCUAAAAGAGCUUUUUGGUUUCUUCCCGGAAAAUGAAAUUUGGUCAGAUGGUUUAUUUUCUGCCACUUUGAGAAAGGCUUGCCUAAACGAAAGGGCGAAAGAGAGCUGGCUAAUACUUAAUGGACCUCUUGACAAAGAAUGGAUCGGCAAUAUAAGCUCAUUACUAGAUGCGAAUAAAGUGUUUACUUUAGCUAAUGGAGAACGAAUAGUUUUAGCUAACAUGGUCACUUUAAUCUUUGAAACUACAAAUAUUUUGCAUUGUUCACCAAGUAUUCUUUCUUGCAUGGGUAUUGUGUAUCAUAAAUCAAGCAACGUAGUAUGGAAGAAUUUUUUGUUUUCAUGGAUUCAUAAGUGUGAAAAUGAAAACUUAAUUCCUGUUGUCAAGAAACUAAUAGAAGAAUACAUGGAAAACAUUUUGGAAUUCGCUUUUGAUUCUUUAAGAAGUUUGAAGUCUCUGUCAAUAACUAAAUUGAAUUGUGUGUCCUCUUUCUCCUGUUUAAUGGACAUCUAUGUCAAAAAUGUAUCUCCGCAGAAGGUUGAUUCAACCAUCAUUUCAAGAAUAUUUUGGCUGUCAAUAAUCUGGUCAAUUGGUGCUGCCAUUAGUGAAGAUGAGAAAAAUGAAUUUGAUGCUUUCAUCAAAAGCUUAAAUGAUUCAUUAAAUGCUUUAGAAAGCGUUUAUAACUAUCAUUUAGAUGCCAACUUUGAAUGGAUCAAAUGGAGUUCAUAUUUGCCUGAAAAAUGGCAACCCCCAAUGAAUUCUCCAUUUGAAAAUUGGUUCAUUCCAACUGCUAGAUGUAUAAGUUAUCAGCACUUUAUACUUCAGUUUACAAACACACUUCAUCCAGUUCUUUUGAUUGGCAAUAGUAGAUGUGGUAAGACAGCUUUAGUAGAAGAUUUAUUUUCAGUUCUGGAUCGUGAUACCUACACUCACAAUAUUGUCAACAUCUUACCACAGAUUUCAUCCAAUAAGUUUCAAACAGUAAUUGAAAGCCAGUUGGAAAAAAAGGCUGGUGGCAUAAUGUUACCCCAUUUUAAGAGGAAACUAAUUAACUUUUUGGAUAACAUUGACAACAUUAUCUGUGAUGAAUCUGGAAGUCAACCACCUUUAGAAUUACUAUUGAUGGCUAUUGAUUGUGGAUUUUGGUAUGACCGUAAAACAUGGACGAAAAAUUGCUUACGAAAUGUUUCAUAUGUGGCUUCAUCUUCAUCAUUUGGAUCAGCAAAUAAAAUUCCAGAUCCACUACUAAACCGUUUCUGUGUCUUCAAUGUUCCAGAACUAAAAGAUGAAAUGAAGAAUAUAUUCCUCACGUUGAUGAAACAAAAAAUUCCUAGUGUCUCUUUGGAAACUCAAAGGCUACUAAACUCUUUAAGUUCUGGCACUGUGAAAGCUUAUGAAUUGAUAAGAGAAAAUUUUCUCCCUACUCCUACAAAAUUGCACUAUUUAUUUCAUCUGAGAAGUGUCAAAAAAGUACUGUUUAAUCUACUGAACAUAAAUACUGAAUAUUUGGAUAAUCGAAUCAGCAUAACAAAGUUCUGGUUUCACGAGUUUACUCGAGAGUUCUCCGAUCUUCUAAUUAAUGAUGAUGACCGCUUGCUGAUGUUCCGUGUUCUUGCUGGUGUAGUGGAGAAAGAAUUUUUAAUUCCUGUGGCUCGUGUUUGUGCUGAAAAUGAACCAGUGUUUGUGAAAUUUCUAACUCCUGAUACUGGUUAUAAUGAAAUUCAAGAUAUUAGUAUUUUACAAAAACUGCUAGAAACUUACAUUGAAUCAUACAAGCAUAAAAAAUUAAAGGAUUUACAGAUUGUUCUUUUCAAACAAUACUUAGAUCAUUUUGUUCGUAUUUUAAGAGCUAUUGAAAACCCUCAUGGAAAUGUGAUUCUUUUGGGAGCUAGUGGCACUGGUCGAAGAACAUUGUGCAAAAUAGGAGCAUUUGUUUUAAAUUACGAAGUGUUUGAAAUAACAUUUGAUGAAGACUUUGAUGAGCAAAGUUUCAAAGAAGCUCUUCAGAAACUUUUGCGUCAAAUUGGUAUUAAUGGAAAGGAUGUUUUAUUCAUAAUCUCAGAUUAUCAGAUCAGUGAUGAUUUUUAUCUAGAGUUUUUGAGUGAUAUAGUUGCAAUUGGUGUUCCACCAGAUUUAUUUUCAUCUUUAGAAUUGAAAGAGAUAUAUAGUGAAAUGGAAAAAAGUAUGAUAGUCCCUAAGGGAGGAAAUGACUUUUUUAAACACUUUGCAAGUAAUAUAAAGUCUCACUUUCAUUUAGCUUUUUGUGUAAGCUAUACAUCUUCACAUUAUAAAAGAUCUAUUUUAAAGUACCCUGAUUUGUAUAAGCAUUCUACCGUUGAUUGGUUUGAGGAAUGGCCAGUUGAGGCUUUAGAAACUAUUUCCGAAAAAUUUCUUCUUGACCUUCAAGAACCACCAAUUGAUCAAAAGGUUUUGCAAACAUAUUCUGUAAUACUGUGUGAUAUGCAUCUUGACACCUUAAGAUUAGCUGAAACUGAGAAAUCUGAAAAUAAUGUAUUUGAAACGUCAAGCAGUUUUGUCAAACUUGUGAAUGCCUUCAAAAGAUUACUUGUGAAUAAACAAGAAAAAGUUCAGUACUCUUUGAAUAGACUGAUAUCUGGGCUUCAAAAAAUUAAUGAGACUCAAGAUAAAGUGAAUGAAAUAGCUAAACAAACAAAAGAGGCUCAUGAAAAGCUAGUUAUAGCUACUAGGGAAUGUGAUGCAGCCCUUAUUGAUAUUAAAGCCAAACGAGAAAUUGUAGAACAAAAACAAAAGAUUAUAGAAGAGAAAAAGAUUGAGAUCGAAAGGAAAGAAAAAGUGUGCAAAAAAAUUGAACUUGCUGCUCAAGAAGAUCUAAAUGCUGCUCUGCCAGCUUUAGAAGAAGCCAGAAAGGCAUUAGAAGCAUUGAAUAAACGAGAUAUUGGAGAAAUUAAAAGCUAUGCAAAACCUCCAGAACUUGUAGCAUUAGUUUUGCAAGCAGUAAUGAUUUUGCGAGAUUCUGAGCCUUCUUGGGCAGAAGCUAAACGGCAAUUAGGUAGCCCUAAUUUUUUGAAACAGUUAAUGGAAUUUGACAGGGAUAAUAUACCAGAUGAUGCUUUAGAUGAUUUGGAAAAAAUUAUCAAAAAGAAAGAAUUUAAACCUGAAAAAGUAGGAAAAGUAUCAUUUGCUGCAAAAUCUUUAUGUCUUUGGGUAAAGGCUAUGUAUAUGUAUGGCAGAAUAUAUAAGAAAGUAAAACCCAAAGUUGAAAGACUAAGACUUGUACAAGAAGAACUGUCUAAACUACAAAAAACACUGUCUGAUUUGUUUGCUGAGCUUAAUGCACUUCAUGAAGCCAUUGCACAGUUAGAACAUGAGCAUGAUUUGCUGAUGAAAACAAAGGAAGAAUAUGCACGCAAAGAAAAAGAACUUGCUUUAAAGUUGGCGAGAGCUGAAAGCAUCAUGGAAAGUUUACGUUCUGAAAAGGAAAGGUGGCAGUUGAAAGUUGCUACACUACAGGAGAAAAAAGACUAUGUUAUUGGGGAUAGUUUUCUUGCAUCUGGAUAUCUGACAUACCUUGGACCCUAUGAUCAGUAUUUUCGUUCUAACAUAAGUACAAAAUGGAAAACAAAAAUAUCAUCAAAGUUUGCUUUUAAUCAAGAAUUCAGCUUAGCAGAAUUUUUUGUUGAAGAGGAUGUAUUAAAUGAUUGGAUAAUGUGUGGGCUUCCUAGUGACCAAUAUUCCUUUGAGGGGGCAGCCAUUGUUAAUGAAAAUUUAUGCUGGUCUUUUUUAGUUGAUCCUGAAGGGCAUGCUGCCAAGUGGAUUAAAAAUUUAUCUGUAAAAAAUAAACUGAAAUAUAUUGAUUAUCAAGAUCCAAAAUAUUUAUCACUAUUGGAACUGGCUAUAUCAGAAGGAUUUCCAGUUUUAAUAGAAAAUAUGAACCCUAAACUAAAUUUGAUCAUUAAUUCUCUUUUGAAACUGUCAAAGAAUCAAAACAUCUGUUUUAAUGGAAAGGAAAUGAAGAUGAAUCCUAACUUUCGUUUAUUUAUGUCAACUAAAUUAUCCAAUCCUGAUUUCUCUUCUUUUGCCAUUAAAGAACUCUUUAUUGUGAAUUUUACUAUAAAACAAAAAGGUCUAGAAGAUCAACUCUUGCCAAUAAUUGUUAGAAAUGAGCGGCCAGAUUUAGAACUCAUUAAGGAAAAGCUCGUAAAAGGCAUUAUCGACUGCAAGAAGCGCUUUACUGCUGUUGAAGAUAAAAUUCUUAAAUUAUUAAGCAAAGCAGAAGGCUCUUUGUUAGAAGAUGAAGUGUUGGUUCAUGCUCUCCAAGAAUGUAAGUCUGAAUCAAAUGAAGUUGAAAUGGAAUUAACAUCAAACCAAAAAACUGAAGUUCGAAUUGAUCAGGCUAGAGAUGAAUACAGACCAUGUGCAAAAUUGGCAUCAAUUUUGUAUUUUGUGCUUGCUGAUAUGAAUAAAGUCAAUUUAAUUUAUAUGUUUGCUUUGGAUUCAUACCUUGAUUUGUUUCUGAACUCAAUACAAAAAUCACAGAAAGAUCCCGAGGUUUCGGGCAGAAUCAAGAAAGUAAAUCUUUUUCACCAGUAUUCUGUUUAUAGAUAUGCUUGUAGGUGUGUUCUUAAUAAACAUGCUCUGCUCUUUUUGUUCCACAUGUGUACACAGAUUCUGUUGGCUGAUCAUAAACUUGGCAUUGAUGAGUAUGAGUUUUUUAUCCAUGGAGGAAAGGAAAGUGGUGAAAAAAAUAAACUCAUGAAUCCAUGCUCUCACUGGUUGUCUGAAGAGAGCUGGAACCAAAUUAUUCAGCUGGAAUUGUUACCAAAAUUUCUUGGUAUAACGGUAUCAUUUGAUGAAGCUCCAAAAUUAUGGUAUGAAUGGUACUCUUCCCAAGAACCAGAAAAUAAAUUACUUCCAGCUUUCUUGCUUACCCUGAAAUAGAUAUAAGGGAAAUAUUUGAAGAAUCUUCUGCUAAAAAACCUCUUAUCUUAUUUACUGUUUCAUCAGAUGCUGGAGACUGGGCCUUCAUUUCAAAUGCUCAUCUAUUACAACCAUGGUUACCAACAUUAGAAAAAAUUGUUAGUAUACUCCAAACAGUUAAAGCCCAUCCAAAUUUUCGCUUGUGGCUUUCGUCAUCUCCAAU